rnacentral:rRNA from 1 species
AUGUUCCCUCAUAGGUUUCUGUGGAGGGUUAAGAUGCCGCCUAGGAUUAAGGUAUUCGCAUGGCUAGUACUUAGGAAAAGUGUCCUAACUAAAGACAAUUUGAGUAGAAGGGAGUGGGUUGGUAACAAAACUUGCCCCUUUUGUAGAAGAGAUGAGUCAAUUGACCAUCUUUUCAUGCAAUGUUCUAUUUCUAGGAUGUUUUGA